CUGGUGCUAGCCAAGAAAUAACGCCUGCAGGAACUGUUCAGGUUUUAACCCCUAGUGCUCAAGCAACUCCUCAAUCAUCAGAACUUUUAGAAACAUCACAACCUGAUGAAAUGAAUAAUGUUGUUAUUCAAUCAGAAGCUGCAGAAAAUGAAGGCGCUGCUAAUGUUCCUGCAGAAGAUGUUGAUUCAUUGGAUAAAUUUCUUCCCCCAC
rnacentral:misc_RNA from 1 species